GUGGUGAGAGUAUUGGAGAGGCUUAUUAUGUACGCUUCAAUUACUCCUUCUCUCUCAAUUUUUCAAUCAUCUUUCCUUUUCUUAUUCAAAACCCUAAUCUCUCUCUCUCGAUGACCGUGUAAUUGGUUUCUUUCCUAAAUCAAAUUGUUGACCAUCUCUCUAAAUUAUCAAUCGCCUUCUUCCGAAAACCCUAAAACAAAAAUCAUCUGCCUCCAUAUCUGAAUCAACCCUGUGCGACAAACUUCAAUCCAUCUUCAAGACCCACGACUCUACAAUCGACGGUGUAUGGCUAUUGUUCUUUCAAAAUUGGGGUCAGAUCAAACCGGUCGAUUUUCCUCGGGCCGUAGCCGUCUUCCGUCGGCUAGGGUUCCAUCAUGAAACACUUGCGGUGGCAGAUUCAGGGAAAGACCUAUUGAAGUUAGGGUAUUUCGAUUCCAUUGAGAGAAAACUGGAUUGAUCCUCGACAUGGCUAUAGUCAAAAUCUUCAAUUUUGUUAUGCCAAAUGGAUUCAGUGUUAGAGUAGACAAGCUUUUUCUAUUGGGGAAGGGAAAGAGGUGGAUCAUGAAAGAUCCUAAGAACAAAGCUUCUUCGGCAAUGCAUCAAGUAUCUUGGCCCUGCACGAGUUUAUGAUGGAUCUUCUCAUUUAGGCACGAGUAUAUGAUGGAUCUUCUCAUUUGGAUGCGCUUAACCUUUUACUAUGUGAAAGCUGGGAUGAAUGUGUAAGCAUGGAUCAUCUCAUGGCCCAUAACAAAGACAACCUUGAGAAUCAAAAAACACUGGAAAUAUGACUCUAUCGAUCUCCUUCUUCACCAUUCUCGAAAAUCCCCUUCUAAUGCCAUAUGUAAGUCCACGAAUCUUCAGUUCUUAUAGCUUUCAGUUUUAUCUUGAUUGAUAAUCCCAACAAUCAUUUGUUUCUGGCAUAUUGUCUAAAUGAUAAUCCUAACAAUCAUUUGUUUCUGGCAUAUUGUCUAAACUGUUUGUUAAUUACAAAUAAACGAUUAGAAUAGAGAUCCAAAUGCCUCCUUUUGGCACAUGUUUGAAAUCGAUUGAUGGUUAGUUUUAGUGAUAAAUCUUAAGAGUCUUAUUAUCAUUUGGUUGAAUUGCAUGUAUAUGGAACACCGAUGGGACCCUAAGCGGCUUAUAGGAUCGGGUGGCAUGCCUUCAUCACAUUCUGCAACGGUAACUGCUCUUGCGGUUGCUGUUGGUUUACACGAUGGCCUUGGUGGUUCAAGCUUUGCUACUGCCCUGAUUUUAGCUAUUAUAGUGAUGUAAGAUGCGACUGGUGUAAGAUUGCAAGCAGGACGCCAAGCGGAGGUAAUUGCUGGUGGGUUAUUGGGGAUGAUGACAUCAGCAAUUAUAUACUUGAUCUCACAUUCAGGUACAUAAUUUCAAUACUAGUAAAGGAUAGUACAGGAACCGCAAAUCUAACUCUAUAUUAGAUGAGGAUGGACAAGUUACAAGAUUGUCACUGUGAUAGAUGCGGUUACGGUACAGAAGAUGCAAAUCAAGUUUUUGUUAAUUGUAUUUGGGCCCGAAGUACAUGGUGGCAAAUUACGGUUUGGAUGCGCAUACCCCUACGACUAAUAUGUGCAGUUUAAAAGAAGUGGUGAAAGCUUUGACCGGAAACAUAGGGUCGGCUAGAUGGAAGUGAGUCGUCUACACGAUUAUUCUGGCUACGGUGUGGCGAAUCUGGAAUGCAAGGAAUCUUAAAGUUUUUGAGGGGCAGUUUGUUCCAACCCGGAGAACUGUCGAUCUCAUAAAAGAAGACGUCUUCCUUUGGAUUUCUCAUCACACAAAGUUACCAAAGCUGGACUGGGAUAAGUGGGCUGAGUUUAAUGUUUCGGAAAUUUUGUAAUGGCUGUGCUUUUGUUUUCUGUUUCCUUUCCGUUUCUUUGUAGUUGUUUUGUCCAGUUACUCAACCCGCCUGGAUGUGAUUCAAUUGGAUCGGGAAGUAGUUUGUGCUGAUUGAUUUUUUUUCUUAUUUGGACAACUAGAUAAGUUGGCUACCAAUGUCGAACACCUUUUUAGGAUUUGCUGAAAGUGUCAUCAGGUCAUCAGACAGGUCACUCACUUGGUGGCCUGAAAUCAAGAUAUGUUGUUGCUAAACUCUACAAUCUAUACAUACGAUUGCACAAAAUCAAUUAUGCAUGCCAAGGAUAUAGAAAGAUAUGUAAGGCCAAAGCAUGGAUGAUGCAGUUGCAUGUUGUAUAUCAUUUGUAGAGAAAAAGGAAAAGACUGAAACACAACACACUGAUGCUUGAUAUAAAGGGACCAUACGAUGGCAUCUAAAAGGAUGCUUGAUAUAAAGCGACAUUGAUGCGUGAGAGACAAGAGACAUUUAUGUCUGACAACUUAAUAACGUCGUGAUACAAUCCAAGGCAACUGCACGUGAGGUUACAGUUAUAUACAGUUUACGGAACGCAAUUCUGUGAGUUCAUGUCCCCUCUUCAUUUUAAAUGCUUUUCAACUUUACAACUAUCGGGGAAAAUACAUGUUCAAUAGUAUGAUAAGUCAAGGAAUGAAACACCAUAGAUCAUGUGCGAAACCAUACAACUAAGCAUCACUAAUCCAGUUUGGACCUAGGUACAAAGGGUUAGAUCUAAUGGGUUUUGGCGAGCCCCACUCUUGGUCGCGGACCGUUCAGAAGAGUGCGUUUGUGUCCCAGUUGAGGAUAGUUGACACAAAAUCGUCUAGGGAAUUAGUGGACCAUGCAGAUAUUUCAGACAAGAAAGCAAUUAUCAAGACUCCAUGCCACCAUUUGUAGGGUUUGCCCGUUAUAUACCACCUCUUUGCGGUGAUAUAGUGGUCAAAGCCUUAACAUUUUAGAACUUGCUUUUUGAUGUAUGAAACUAUGACAGUUUAUGUUCAGUUGAUGGUUUUAUACACUUAACUUAU